GGAGCAAGAGGCACUUAGGAGCUGAGAGAGUGAAGACAUAUUGAUGGAGGACUGAGGAGUACAAGCGGUAUCAGACACCAGGAGACAGGUCCUGUGAGGCCAAACUCUCACCGAAAUCAAGACAAGUUUUGCCCAAAUGAAGAAUGGGUAAAAACAGAGUAAAAAGGCAUCAGGAUUUGGCUCUAGAUCGAGUUUAUGACAGGAUGUCACACACAAAACCUUCCUGAACCCCCC